UCGGGCACGAUUCUACGGGAGGCAGCAGUGAGGAAUAUUGGUCAAUGGGCGAGAGCCUGAACCAGCCAAGUCGCGUGAAGGAAGAAUGUCCUAUGGAUUGUAAACUUCUUUUGUAAGGGAAUAAAAAAGGGUACGUGUACCCUAUUGUAUGUACUUUACGAAUAAGGAUCGGCUAACUCCGUGCCAGCAGCCGCGGUAAUACGGAGGAUCCGAGCGUUAUCCGGAUUUAUUGGGUUUAAAGGGUGCGUAGGCGGACCAAUUAGUCAGUGGUGAAAGUUUGCAGCUCAACUGUAAAAUUGCCAUUGAAACUGUUGGUCUUGAGUGUAAAUGAGGUAGGCGGAAUGUGUUGUGUAGCGGUGAAAUGCUUAGAUAUAACACAGAACACCAAUUGCGAAGGCAGCUUACUGGGAUACAACUGACGCUGAGGCACGAAAGCGUGGGGAUCAAACAGGAUUAGAUACCCUGGUAGUCCACGCAGUAAACGAUGAAUACUAGCUGUAUGCGAUAUACUGUAUGUGGCAAAGCGAAAGCGUUAAGUAUUCCACCUGGGGAGUACGUUCGCAAGAAUGAAACUCAAAGGAAUUGACGGGGGCCCGCACAAGCGGAGGAACAUGUGGUUUAAUUCGAUGAUACGCGAGGAACCUUACCCGGGCUUGAAAUGCAUCUGACCGACUUGGAAACAGGUCUUCUAGCAAUAGCAGAUGUGUAGGUGCUGCAUGGUUGUCGUCAGCUCGUGCCGUGAGGUGUCGGCUUAAGUGCCAUAACGAGCGCAACCCCUAUCAUUAGUUACUAACAGGUUAAGCUGAGGACUCUAGUGAGACUGCCACCGUAAGGUGUGAGGAAGGUGGGGAUGACGUCAAAUCAGCACGGCCCUUACGUCCGGGGCGACACACGUGUUACAAUGGGGGGUACAGAGGGUUGCUACUUGGUGACAAGAUGCUAAUCUCUUAAAGCCUCUCUCAGUUCGGAUCGAAGUCUGCAACUCGACUUCGUGAAGCUGGAUUCGCUAGUAAUCGCGCAUCAGCCAUGGCGCGGUGAAUACGUUCCCGGGCCUUGUACACACCGCACAUACGCAUAUGACUAG
rnacentral:rRNA from 1 species